rnacentral:rRNA from 1 species
AAACUCUCAACAACGGAUAUCUUGGCUCUUGCAACGAUGAAGAACGCAGCGAAAUGCGAUACGUAGUGUGAAUUGCAGAAUUCCGUGAAUCAUCGAAUGUUUGAACGCAUAUUGCGCCCGAGACUUCGGUCGAGGGCAUGUCUGUUUGAGCGCC